GCCAGCCCAAGUCUUCGCCAUCAGUCACCCUGUUUCCACCUUCCUCUGAAGAGCUCGAGACUAACAAGGCCACACUGGUGUGUACGAUCACUGAUUUCUACCCAGGUGUGGUGACAGUGGACUGGAAGGUAGAUGGUACCCCUGUCACUCAGGGUAUGGAGACAACCCAGCCUUCCAAACAGAGCAACAACAAGUACAUGGCUAGCAGCUACCUGACCCUGACAGCAAGAGCAUGGGAAAGGCAUAGCAGUUACAGCUGCCAGGUCACUCAUGAAGGUCACACUGUGGAGAAGAGUUUGUCCCGUGCUGACUGUUCCUAG